AAGAAUGCGGAAGAUACAAUUAAAAUAUAUUUUGUAAUGUACUACUACAAAUAUUUAUAUGUUAUUUUAAGCAUUGCAUUAUUUAUAAAUUGAUCAAUUCAUUCAAUUUGUAAAAUAAAAAGAGAAAAGAAUAUGGCUAAAAAUUUCAAGUUUAUUUAUGCUAUAAUUUUAUUUCUUUCCUUAGUUCAUCUUUCAAUGGUGGAGGCUUUUGCACCUAUUCCAUGUAAAACUACGGAAGAUUGUCCUUUUCCUAGAUCUGAGAGUAUUAGCCGUAUUAUGUUGACUGGCUUUUAUACGUGUAUUAAUAGAUCCUGUAUCAUGUUUGGCAGCAUAUAGCAAAGACCAAAGUUGCAAGGGAAAUAUCAAAGACAUAUUAAUAUACUUUAUGGUAGAAUGUUGCAUGAGUGGUCAUUUAAGAUUUAUUCUUAGAACCAAUAAUUGUAUUUUUCAUAUAAUUUUUCAUUUUAUAAUAAUGUAUUCCUUCAAAUUA